GGGUCAGUAGGUUGGUCGUGCCACCGGUACGUACUGGUCUCACUGAUUCCUCCUUCCUGAAGAACCGUAAUGCCAUUAAUUUGGUGUUGCGGGGAAACAGGACUGUUACUUUGAAAAAAUUAGAGUGUUUAAAGCAAGCUAACGCUUGAAUACAUUAGCAUGGAAUAAUGAAAUAGGACGAUCGAUCCUAUUUUGUUGGUUUCUAGGAUUGACGUAAUGAUUAAGGAUAGUUGGG
rnacentral:rRNA from 1 species